rnacentral:rRNA from 1 species
GUAGGGAAUAUUGCGCAAUGGGGGAAACCCUGACGCAGCGACGCCGCGUGAGUGAUGAAGGCCUUCGGGUCGUAAAGCUCUGUUGCAGGGGAAUAAAAAAAUGAAGGUACCCUGUGAGGAAGGAUCGGCUAACUUCGUGCCAGCAGCCGCGGUAAGACGAGGGAUCCUAGCGUUGCUCGGAAUCAUUGGGCGUAAAGAGGGCGUAGGUGGCUUGGUAAGUCAGGUGUGAAAGCCCAGGGCUCAACCCUGGAAGUGCAUUUGAUACUGCUGAGCUUGAGUGUCUGAGAGGUUACCGGAAUACCUGGUGUAGUGGUGAAAUACGUAGAUAUCAGGUGGAACACCGGAGGCGAAGGCGGGUAACUGGACGAACACUGACACUGAGGCCCGAAAGCGUGGGGAUCAAACAGGAUUAGAAACCCUGGUAGUCC